UUUUGUGCUCGUUACGUGUUUGACGAAAUGCCCCUUUGGGAUUUUCGCUUGUUUGUUUGGUCGAUCGGUUUCUUGUUUAGCCUGGUUUUACUUCGUGCUUGCAACCUGUUUGAUGAAAUGCCCAUGUGAAUGUUUGGUUUGUAGCUGGAGGACAUGGAGCUGGAUGCCUCGUCGGAGGCGGCGGCAGUGGAGCUUUACUUUGUUAAAUCGAAAGUCACUUUUGGAGGUGAUCAAGCAAACAGUGCUGGACCAUCUCACCAAGAAAUGCCCUCCGCAU